UGCAGAAUCCCGUGAACCAUCGAGUCUUUGAACGCAAGUUGCGCCCGAGGGAUCCUCCCGAGGGCACGCCUGCCUGGGCGUUAGAAGCCCAUCAACGCUUAGUCAACUCCCCACGUAUAGUGUGAGGAAAUUUGGCUAGAUGCGGACAUUGGCUCUCCUAGCCGUCAAGGCGAGGUGGGCUUAAGAGCACGGCCGUCAACGGUUUCGGGAACGGUGAGUUGUGGGCUUACAGCGAAUGCCAAUCCCAACCCAUGUGUUGACAUGUGGCCAUUUUGACCCCAAGACAAGGAGAUUGUUGUUGUAGCGUCUCGCUUUGCGACAUCUUCGGACCGAUACCCCAGGUCAGGCGGGGCCACCCGCUGAGUUUAAGCAUAUAAAUAAGCGGAGGAGAAGAAACUUACGAGGAUUCCCCUAGUAACGGCGAGCGAACCGGGAGCAGCCCAGCCUUAGAAUCGUGGCGGCCCUGUCGCCCGA
rnacentral:rRNA from 1 species